rnacentral:sRNA from 1 species
GCUGGGUGUGGUAGUGCACACCUGUAAUCCCAGAAUUUGGGAGGCUGAGGCAGGAGGAUCACAAAUUCAAGGUUAGCCUGGGUGAUUUAGCAAGCAAGACCCUGUCUCAA